UCAGGACGAACGCUGGCGGCGUGCCUAAUACAUGCAAGUCGAGCGGACAGAUGGGAGCUUGCUCCCUGAUGUUAGCGGCGGACGGGUGAGUAACACGUGGGUAACCUGCCCGUAAGACUGGGAUAACUCCGGGAAACCGGGGCUAAUACCGGAUGCUUGAUUGAACCGCAUGGUUCAAUUAUAAAAGGUGGCUUUUAGCUACCACUUACAGAUGGACCCGCGGCGCAUUAGCUAGUUGGUGAGGUAACGGCUCACCAAGGCAACGAUGCGUAGCCGACCUGAGAGGGUGAUCGGCCACACUGGGACUGAGACACGGCCCAGAUUCCUACGGGAGGCAGCAGUAGGGAAUCUUCCGCAAUGGACGAAAGUCUGACGGGGCAACGCCGCGUGAGUGAUGAAGGUUUUCGGAUCGUAAAACUCUGUUGUUAGGGAAGAACAAGUACCGUUCGAAUAGGGCGGUACCUUGACGGUACCUAACCAGAAAGCCACGGCUAACUACGUGCCAGCAGCCGCGGUAAUACGUAGGUGGCAAGCGUUGUCCGGAAUUAUUGGGCGUAAAGCGCGCGCAGGCGGUUUCUUAAGUCUGAUGUGAAAG
rnacentral:rRNA from 1 species